rnacentral:rRNA from 1 species
GACGAGGGGUCCUAGCGUUGUUCGGAAUCAUUGGGCGUAAAGCGUAGGUAGGCGGCUAUUUAAGUCAGGUGUGAAAGCCCCGGGCUCAACCCGGGAAGUGCAUUUGAUACUGGAUAGCUUGAGUAUGGGAGAGGAUAGUGGAAUUCCUGGUGUAGUGGUGAAAUACGUAGAUAUCAGGAGGAACACCGGCGGCGAAGGCGGCUAUCUGGCCCUAUACUGACGCUGAGCUACGAAAGCGUGGGGAGCAAACAGG